GGCUGCAGAGGAAGAAGUCUGCAGUUGUUUCCUGGGAGGAAGUCUGGAGGAGAGUAGGCCCUAGGAUCUGAUUCUGGCAAGAGUACUUGUUCCUGCAGGAAUGAAGAUCCAGUUUCCUAAAAACAAGAACAUCUGCCCGGGUUUUCGACACAUGGGUAGACGGUGUAUUAUCCGCACAGUAAUCACGAAAAGAAAAAUGCAGUCAUGUUCCAAGUUCAUUUGAUGAGUGCAUUGCUUAUUUCAGCACGUGCUUCAGUCGUAAGUCCAUUUGUCGACUGCAGGAGCUCUAACUUGUUCUGAUUACUAUGUUUCGUAUGGUACAGCCAAGGUCCAUCCUGUGUACUUCGUUACAAGAUGGACCUAAACUCUGUGGCAAAA